rnacentral:rRNA from 1 species
CAGCAGCCACGGUAAUACGAAGGGUGCAAGCGUUACUCGGAAUUACUGGGCGUAAAGCGUGCGUAGGUGGUUGUUUAAGUCCGUUGUGAAAGCCCUGGGCUCAACCUGGGAAUUGCAGUGGAUACUGGGCAACUAGAGUGUGGUAGAGGAUAGUGGAAUUUCCGGUGUAGCAGUGAAAUGCGUAGAGAUCGGAAGGAACGUCUGUGGCGAAGGCGACUAUCUGGGCCAACACUGACACUGAGGCACGAAAGCGUGGGGAGCAAACAGGAUUAGAUACCCGCGUAGUCCCUGUCUCUUAUAC